GUACAUAGAUGGGAAUCGAACCUAUAGUGUUCCGAUUACUGGGCAAAUGCCAUGUCCACUAGGCUACCCUGUA
rnacentral:tRNA from 1 species